rnacentral:lncRNA from 1 species
AAUGUAGUGAAUUAGGUGUGAUUGGUGUAUUGUUAGAUUAAAGUUAACUACUAAUUGUGGUGCAUUAGAUGUGAUUGCUUUAUCAAUUAAUAUUUUUUCAUGUAAGCAAUGGUUUUAUCACUUUAAGAUUUAUAAAGCUCAACCUCUCCUUUCAUCAAUUAAAUAUUUUUUAGUUCUUAUGAAUUUCUAAUACCAUCCUAAAAUACUGAUCAUUAUUAAACGUCUAUAAAUAUAUUAAUGGCCUUAGUUUGUAAUUUUAUUAUACAUGAUAUAGAGGUCACAUCAAAAUUUAUCAAUCAUAAGAAAUUAUUAUUUUUUUGUAACCUGUCGCGGUAGGAAAGGAAAAAUCACACAAAAUGAAUAAUGUUUUUGAACAACAUAUUUAUGCAUUGUUGUGUAAAUCAUUGAAUCAAAGUUAUCUACCAAAUGAAGUGCAUUAGGUGUGAUUAAUGUAUUGUUAGAUCAAAGUUAACUACUAAUUAUGUUGCAUUAGAUGUGAUUUCUUCGUGUGACUCAUAGGCUAUAUAUAUUGAAUAUGCUGGAUUUGAAAUUUAUAGAUAAUUCCUCAAGAGAGUAUGAAAAUUUUGUCCGUCAAAGUACAAAGAGUACUUAACCCACAAAGACGGAAAAGGUACAAGAUAUACUCGACCCACUAAAAACCAACAUUCAAUCAAGAGUCAAUACAUAAGAGUGGAUGUGAAUGUCACGCAUAAUACAAAUAAUUUGCCCCUUUUUAUAGCUAGAAGCCAUCUCUAAGAGGUUAAUUUUAUUCCUUCUACAAUAUCCUCCAUCUCCACUCUCCUUAAAAAGAAAAUGAUCUUAUUCCUAACCUCCCAAAUCUUCCGUAUUGUGACAUACCAAAUGAAAGUUAGCUCCGUCGGGUGUUUUUUGCUCCAUGACAAGGUUGAGAAAUACUCAAAAAGAGAAAUAACAUUUUCGGGUAGAGAGAUGCCAACUUCGAUCCACGUAAAGAUCAAUUACCCUACUCUUCCAACAAAAAGACACCUAUAAACAAAUGAUCCUUCACCUCAACAGUCUCUAGACACCACACACAAUUUGGACCAUCUUCUACUAACACCCCCCACCCAUUGACGGUAAAUUCCCACAGGUUGGAAGUCUAUCAAGGAUAAGUUGCCACGAGAUCAUUUGAACCUUUGAUAGAGCUGAGCUAGUCCAUGUCCCCCUUAAACCCCUUCAAGUCGUCUCCCUCAAAUGAGAAGAAAAAAAUUAUCACUCAAUGCAACAUAUUGGGAUAUAACCGUGAAACCAUGUGAAGUAUAUCACACAACCAAUUGCACUUAUCCUCCUCUUUUGUGGCUUGACGAGAAUCUUACCAACCUUUUAACUCACCCAAAUCUUGGUUUCUCCCAUCCAAAAGGCCCCAUCCUCUAUUGAUAACUCCAAUUCCACUAAUUAUCUUUCCAUCACCUCAUUUUACUAAUUUUACUAUUCUUUUGAAGAAUUAAUGAAAAUAAACAAGGAAAUACUUGAGAGAAGGAUUUCCCACCACUAAGUAUAAUGCAAAAAAAAAAAAAAAAUGUUGAAUCCCCAUUUCAAAUAAUUUUCUUUGCAUACCCCAUAAAUGAAUUUUGAUUGUUAUCCAAACCCUUCCCUAAGGCAAACACAUCCAUCCACCAAGUUGAAGUAAAUUUAAAUUUAUUUCUAUAAAAAAAAAAAAUACCGAUACUCAGAUUUUCCUUUAUACUUCUUCAACAUGUCUUUCCACAAAACCUUUUUAUCGUUCAAUAAGCGUCAUUUCCACUUACUUACAUUGGCCAAAUUUAAAAACAUCAUUUCCUUCAUCUCCACCACCCACUCAAAGAGAGAAAUAACAUUUUCGGGUAGAGAGAUGUCAACUUUGAUCAACAUAAAGAUCAAUUACCCUACUCUUCCAAUAAAAAGACACCUAUAAAACAAAUGAUCCUUCACCUCAACAGUCUCUAGACACCACACACAAUUUGGACCAUCUUCUACUAACACCCCCCACCCACUGACGGUAAAUUCCCACAGGUUGGAAGCCUGUCAAGUAUAAGUUGCCCCGAGAUAAUUUGGACCUUUGAUAGAGCUGAGCUAGUCCAUGGCCCCCUUAAACCCCUUCAAGUCAUCUCCCUCAAAUGAGAAUAAAAAAAAUUAUCACUCAAUGCAACAUAUUGGGAUAUAACCGUGAAACCAUGUGAAGUAUAUCACGCAACCAAUUGCACUUAUCCUCCUCUUUUGUGGCUUGAUGAGAAUCUUACCAACCUUUUAACUCACCCAAAUCUUGGUUUCCCCCAUCCGAAAGGCCCCAUCCUCUAUUGAUAACCCCAAUUCCACUGAUUG